rnacentral:rRNA from 1 species
GGUUGAUCCUGCCAGUAGUCAUAUGCUUGUCUCAAAGAUUAAGCCAUGCAUGUGUAAGUAUGAACUAAUUCAGACUGUGAAACUGCGAAUGGCUCAUUAAAUCAGUUAUAGUUUAUUUGAUGGUAUUUACUACUCGGAUAACCGUAGUAAUUCUAGAGCUAAUAUGUGCAACAAACCCCGACUUCUGGAAGGGGUGCAUUUAUUAGAUAAAAGGUCGACGCAGGCUUUGCCUGUUGCUUCGAUGAUUCAUGAUAACUCGUCGGAUCGCACAGCCCUUGUGCUGGCGACGCAU